AGCAGUGCUUUACGUAGUAUAGUGCUUUUCACAUUAAACAAAAAGUGAAAGGUGCCAUACUAUGUAUAGGAAGGCUUA
rnacentral:pre_miRNA from 7 species